rnacentral:rRNA from 1 species
AUUGAACGCUAGCGGGAUGCCUUACACAUGCAAGUCGAACGGAGCGGCGAACGGGUGAGUAAUGAAUCGGAACGUGCCUAGUAGCGGGGGAUAACUACGCGAAAGGGUAGCUAAUACCGCAUACUAUUGGAGCGGCCUAGAUCGGAUUAGCUAGUUGGUGGGGUAACGGCUUACCAAGGCGACGAUCCGUAGCUGGUUUGAGAGGAUGACCAGCCACACUGGAACUGAGACACGGCCCAGACUCCUACGGGAGGCAGCAGUGGGGAAUAUUGGACAAUGGGCGAAAGCCUGAUCCAGCCAUGCCGCGUGUGCGAAGAAGGUCUUCGGGUUGUAAAGCACUUUAAGCAGGGAGGCGGUACCUACAGAAUAAGCACCGGCUAACUUCGUGCCAGCAGCCGCGGUAAUAC